rnacentral:rRNA from 1 species
UGGGGAAUUUUGGACAAUGGGGGCAACCCUGAUCCAGCCAUGCCGCGUGAGUGAAGAAGGCCUUCGGGUUGUAAAGCUCUUUCGCAGGGGAAGAAACAGCAAAGGCAAAUACCCUUUGUCACUGACGGUACCCUGAGAAGAAGCACCGGCCAACUACGUGCCAGCAGCCGCGGUAAUACGUAGGGUGCAAGCGUUAGUCGGAAUUACUGGGCGUAAAGCGUGCGCAGGCGGUUAUUUAAGUCAGGUGUGAAAGCCCCGGGCUCAACCCGGGAAUUGCGCUUGAAACUAGAUAGCUAGAGUUUAGCAGAGGGGGGUGGAAUUCCACGUGUAGCAGUGAAAUGCGUAGAGAUGUGGAGGAACACCGAUGGCGAAGGCAGCCCCCUGGGCUAAAACUGACGCUCAGGCACGAAAGCGUGGGGAGCAAACAG